GGAGCUUACGCCGCCUUAGCCGCUGGGAAGGGCACUCCGGGGGCGUACAAUGCCCGCCGCGGGGCGGGUUCGCUUCUCUCCGCCCCGUUUCCCCGCCCUUGUGGCCGGGCUGGCGGGGGGCUGGGGCGGAACGGGAUGGGACGGGCUGAACUGGAUUGGAUUGGAUUGGAGGUGGCCGUCGGGAGCGGGUCCGCUGUCUGCCGCAAGUUUCGCCCAGAGUGGGAAAGUUGGGCGGGAUCCGUCCAGAUUCCUGGAAAUCUGAGGAGCAGACUUUGGCGGACGAAGAAUGUAAUUCUUCCCGGAGGUGUGGGUACCUCUUAUGAAGGGGACUGAAGUAGGAUCAGCUGAUAUCCAAGAAGCUCAACUUCAGGACAUGCAAGAGUACUUUGGAGUGAACUGGCAGUAAGCCUUGCAGUACCAUGGUGGCAAUAAUACUGGCUGUCCUCUGGAGAUGCUGAAGCUUUGAACUUCUUUAUUAGACCCUCCAACUUGUUCACAAAGGACUUAAAACUGAUUUGGAUUCAUAUGGUCAUGGGUAUGGAUUUUUUCCUCCCAUUUCUUGACAUCUGCAUGUUUCCAGCAGUCAGUGAUGAAGUCAGUGCUAGGUCUGCUGACAUUUGGUCUGUUCUGGGGAGCUCUGAGUGACAGGUACUGUAAACAUCCUACACUCUCAGCUGUGGAAACUAAGAAAGCUGGGAGAAGGCUGUUUACUCUCCCUGCCUUGGAAAUCAUCUGGAGGGCGAGGAUGGAAUAUUCUGUUGAUUGUAUUUCUGACAGCCUGUAUUUCAUACUUUACAUUAUGGUGUCAGUAAACAAAUUCUGUCAUUACAUCACAUCAUCAAUGUCUUGUGUUCAAACCAAGGUCAGAAGGGCAUUGUCAUAUUCUUGAGCUGUACUGCUGGCUUGAGGGAAGCUUGAAUAAUUCAAUAAUACACUGCAGUACUUCCAUCCUUAAGCAGUGAUUAAAAAAGACCUGUCACACUGUUUGUUUGAAGGUAGUGAUACAUAAAAGUUGCAGUGUGGACAUUCUCAGACUGACACAUCAGUAUUGUAUUUAAUCAAAAUCACCCUUAAAUGGUUGGGGCUUUUUUUCUAAGAUCUACUCAAUUCUUGUUUUCUACCCAAAAGAGCUAGAAACAGAGGUUAGAAGGCAAAAAGAUUGUAGGGGAAUUAAAAUUUCAGUUUCUUUUCAAAGAAAAUCAGAGGUGUUAACAUGAACUCCAGCUCUAAAUUAAAUUAGGAUACAAAGGUCUUAUACCUCGUGUUUUCCACUUGAUGUUCCCUACCACUUGCUCCUCAGACUGUAUCAUACUUUGUGCUUUGUCCUGACAAUCUUUCUCUUCUUCCUCUGUGUUUCUUUCAUUCUAUAUGCUUUAAGCCAAGUCUAACUUACCAGUUCAAAUGUAGAAUAAGCUGAAAAAGUAAUUUUCCCUUUUAAGUCUAAUAUCCUGCUGGCAUGAUCCUAAACUCCUAAAGUGAGUUUUGCAGGUUUUCUUGAGCAGGGACUCUGGCAGAAAGAAUAUUCUUUCCCUCUUUUCUUUUUCCUUGUUUAUGGGGAAAGGACACCUUUUGUGUGCUCAAAGAUCACUGUCUAGUUUCUUUUGCAAUAGCAUUGUUAUGUGUUCAGAUCCUUCUGCUUCAGCUUUUUAGGAAAGACAUUUAAGUAUAAAAUCUUUGAAAUAGUUUUCAGGGUUUGGAAAUGGAUGGGAGUGGGAAGAUAACAGGUAAAAGAAUGUGUAAGGAUUUGAAGUAGUACUUACUAGUGGACAAAAAAGAAUUUAAACUUUUAUGCAGAACUUUAAAAAGUCAGUUAUUUGAAGUAAUAAUUGUUUUUCAGGCUCUGGCUUGCUUUCCUAUUGGAGGAAGCAGUAAGAGGGAAAGCCAGGGUCAAAGUGCUGUAGUGAAGGGACUAAGUUGAUGAGUAAAAAGAAGGCUUAUGAUUAAUGUAGUAAUUUCCAAGAAAAGCAGAGUUAACCCCAGAAAAUGAUUGUUUUAAGGAGAUGUAGCUGUUCAGACGAGUCAGACGAUAGGGGGUAGCAUUUCCUAAUGCACAUGCUUCCCUUGGCAGAGAGAGAUUGCUGGGUGUGAUGGGGCACGGUUACUUCCUCCACUGCAUGACAAUACUGAUUGUAGAUUAUGCUGUCCAGGAAAGACAACCUCCUGAAGGAGAUAAAUUCCUUAAUUUCUGAGAUAUGGGUUUGUAUAUUAUUUUUAUUUAGACAUGUUUUGGGUUUGGAGUCAUUAUUUUGUGUCAAUUGAAAAUACUUCUCUAUAUUUAAUAUUACUUACUUGUACAUUGAAUAAUGAAACUCCAGUUUAAAUGAAACUCCAGUACUCCCAGCUUUGUCAUACAUUUUUCCUGGCUUUGUACUGACAUGAUUUGUUUAAACUGCAAACUAAUUCAAUGACUUGACCCCACUGAAAACUAAGUAAGCAAAACAGUUUUUAUGUGGAUCAGCUGCUUACUCCACCACUGUCCUGUGCCUGAAAUGCUACUGAAAGUCCUAGUUCCUUCAAAUGUGGCCACUUUCCUGAAGAAAAUCACAGUGUUUAUUUUGAAUAGAUGAUGUAGUUCUAAAGCAAUAAAAUAGUGAAAUGAUGGGACUUUGAAUAUUUUAUUUAAUAUUCUGCUGAUGCCGUCUGUACAAAGUUGUAAGCAUGCUGCUAAAAUAAAUUCAGAUUAAAUUGUUUUAAUUAAAAUGUUUCAUUUUUUGAACUCCAUUUUUGCUUCUCCUUAAAAGAUUUGUUGGUAAAAUCUAACUAAAUUGUAUUGCUAAAAUGGAGCAACUGGCAAUUUUGCUAUCUCCAGACCUUUAAUUGUAAAUGUAUGUUCUGAUGUACCUUCACCAUACUGAGCACUAUAUAAAUUGCAUCAUUUUUACAUCACAGAGGUUUUUUUCCCAAGGUAUUGCUUGCCAAGCCAAAGGCAAACAUUAUGUCCUUUUCUCUUGUUAAUCCCAGACUUCAAAGUGUUGAAGAUUCUUUCCAGUCUAUCAAUUAAACACAGAGUUUUUCCAUUGUGGAAAAAAAAUGUAAGAGGGCUGUUUCAAAAGCCUGUUGCCAGCAAUGAGCUUUGGAUUGGGUCCAUGGAGAGGUAAUCUGGAUAGCUACCACCGCAAGUCAUCUCUGGAAGUUGCUGAUUGUAGGCAUGGCCUUUUUUCUUAAAGGGUGGUUCUGCCAAGAAGGAAAAAUGGCUUGUUCCAAGUGAUUCUUGGCACCACCCUGGACAAUAUUAUUCCUGCCUGUUAUGGUCAGCAUCCUGCAUUGAUUGUGUUUCUGUAAUUGUUUUUUCGUUAUGAGGAAAAGAACAGUUCUUGUUAUCAUGUUUCUUUAUUUCUAAACUUUGUUUGGUUUUGGUUUGUUUGGAUUUUUGAGCUACAUUUUUGAUUAUGUAGUCCUUCAAGGUAGCUGUCAAACAUCCAUUACAUUUGGUAAUACAGGGAGUGACUGUGGGAAGGAAUAAAAAAUGUGCGGGAGUGGUCAGGCAGAGCUGCUGCUUGU